rnacentral:piRNA from 1 species
GAGCAAUCGAUUUGGCAGCAGACACCAGC